UACAGAGGUGGCAAGCGUUGUUCGGAAUUACUGGGCGUAAAGGGCGCGUAGGCGGCCCGUCAAGUCCCCGUGUGAAAGCCCCCCGGCUCAACCGGGGAACGGCGCGGGAAACUAGCAGGCUUGAGUUCGGGAGAGGGAAGCGGAAUUCCGGGUGUAGCGGUGAAAUGCGCAGAUAUCCGGAGGAACACCGGUGGCGGAAGGCGGCUUCCUGGACCGACACUGACGCUGAGGCGCGAAAGCUAGGGAGCAAACGGG
rnacentral:rRNA from 1 species